rnacentral:rRNA from 1 species
UACGUAGGGUGCAAGCGUUAUCCGGAUUUAUUGGGCGUAAAGGGCUCGUAGGCGGUUCGUCGCGUCCGGUGUGAAAGUCCAUCGCUUAACGGUGGAUCCGCGCCGGGUACGGGCGGGCUUGAGUGCGGAAGGGGAGACUGGAAUUCCCGGUGUAACGGUGGAAUGUGUAGAUAUCGGGAAGAACACCAAUGGCGAAGGCAGGUCUCUGGGCCGUUACUGACGCUGAGGAGCGAAAGCGUGGGGAGCGAACAGG